AUGAAACAAGAAAACCUAAGGAAUCCAUUGGUACCAACCGUGUCAUACUAGCUGGUCGCAAAAGGGGCUAAAUAAUGCUCCAAACUUACGCUAAACUUUGGUGAGGAAAAACUAGCAUGUCCAUUUUCUAGGAGGUCUUUUGACCUGAAAAUGGGUUCUAUGGGUACCCACGAGUCUCCCCUUUACAAACAUACCCACUUUAAGAUAAUCCCAUAAAGUUUUGGACAAGUCAUAAUCAAGUCAGCACACUUACACACUGGCAGCUGU